CGCGCCUUUUUCUUCGCAGUCUGAUCAGUGUCGCGCCUGUGGAACGUAACAUGGCUUGGACGUAUUCCGCGCGUCAAAAACUUGUCCUUGCGUUAUUAGUGCACCGUCUGCGACGGAAGCGCAGGCGCUCCAUGUACGUUCGUGAAAUUUUCGCGGAACGGAGAAACGUCGGCGAGUACCACCAGCUAGUGGAAGAACUGCGGGAGAAGGAACCGGAGUAUCGUCUCAAAUGUUUCAGGUCGCCGUCCCGGGCUACAAGUAGCCAUGGCGGGAUGACCUUAAAGAGAAGUUCCUGCCCGGGCAAGUAUCAGCGCUGCGGACUAAAAUAUCAUCGUAUUUGGCGGGAACGGAGCGUGUCUGUAUCGCGCUAGACGAGUAGACGUCGCGGCCUACGGAGGGCUUCCUGACUGUCGAAGCAACAUUCCUGGACAGCAACUUCACGGCUCACAUGUACCUCCUCAGUUUCACACGCCUGACAGGGAGCUACACAGCAGCCCGGAUCUGCUCCGAGUAUGACUCACCGUUGCUGCAGCGGAACAUCGCUGACCUGGGCCCAGAUGCCGAGGAAGUCUUACAAAUAUGCGGCGCCAUCAUUGCAUAUAUACGCAAGAGCACCGCCGACACGGAAGAAGUGUUGGACGUGGCCGGCCUGCAUUUGGAAUCUCACAACACGAUCAGGUGGAACUCACAGCUGUGAAUGAUGAGAAAGCUCAUUACUACUUUUUCGAGUCAUCCAGGCCUGACAGAAACUGCAUGCGUGCAAGAAGGCUAAAUUGUCUAAAUAUGAACUGAGGCUGGCGACAGACUUGAUUGAGCUUCUCUCUCCUCUAGAAGAAGCCACAGAGUUGCUGCAGGAAAGGCACGAGACCGCCGGGAUUCUGCUUCCCGCGUUGGUAAAUGUCGAAGUUUCCCUUGCGGAAAUCUUAAGCAAAGGGAGACUUCUUUUCAAAGAGGCGGCUAAAGGCCUACAACGUAGCCUGGAGAAGGGGUUUGCAAGCGCAUGGACUAGCUCUGUUUGUUUUUGUAGGGUGCCAUCAUGAACCCACGGUUUAAGUCUUCUUGGUGUUAAGCUGCAACAGCCGAGCAGAUGCGUUCUGUUGUGCUGGGGAAGAGGCUUCUUUUGUUAGGGCAGGAUAGCGCCAGCACCAUCGCGAAUGCAGACUCUGAAGCAGGACCAAACAGAUUUAUAUUUAAAUACAUCAAUCAAAAUGAAAGUGCCCACCAAGACAAUAUGCC